rnacentral:rRNA from 1 species
GAUGAACGCUAGCGGCAGGCUUAAUACAUGCGAGUUGUACGGGAUUUCGGGUAGCAAUACCUGGAUGAGAGUAGCGCACGGGUGCGUAACGCGUAUGCAACCUACCUUUAACCGGGACACAACCAUGAGAAAUUGUGGCUAAUAUCCCAUAACACUGCGGUGUGGCAUCACAAUGCAGUUAAAGCUCCGGCGGUUAUAGAUGGGCAUGCGUGACAUUAGCUAGUUGGUGAGGUAACGGCUCACCAAGGCUACGAUGUCUAGGGGUUCUGAGAGGAAGGUCCCCCACACUGGUACUGAGACACGGACCAGACUCCUACGGGAGGCAGCAGUGAGGAAUAUUGGUCAAUGGACGAGAGUCUGAACCAGCCAAGUCGCGUGAAGGAAGACGGUUCUAUGAAUUGUAAACUUCUUUUGUGCAGGAAUAAAGUGGGUUACGUGUAACCUUUUGUAUGUACUGUACGAAUAAGGAUCGGCUAACUCCGUGCCAGCAGCCGCGGUAAUACGGAGGAUCCGAGCGUUAUCCGGAUUUAUUGGGUUUAAAGGGUGCGUAGGUGGAUUGAUAAGUCAGCGGUGAAAGUUUGCAGCUUAACUGUAAAAUUGCCGUUGAAACUGUCGGUCUUGAGUGCAAAUGAGGUAGGCGGAAUGUGUUGUGUAGCGGUGAAAUGCUUAGAUAUAACACAGAACUCCGAUUGCGAAGGCAGCUUACUGGGAUGCAACUGACACUGAUGCACGAAAGCGUGGGUAUCAAACAGGAUUAGAUACCCUGGUAGUCCACGCAGUAAACGAUGAAUACUAGCUGUAUGCGAUAUACCGUAUGUGGCACAGCGAAAGCGUUAAGUAUUCCACCUGGGGAGUA